rnacentral:misc_RNA from 1 species
GGAAUGGAUCUGAUAUGGGUGAGUGGGAUUAUUUAAUUUCAUCCUGAAAUAUUGUUGACACUCGGUGACUGAUUAAUGAAAAUUGAUAUGCAAAUAAAAUAAAUCUGGUCCUUCAAUAGGAACUGGGUUGGCAAAUUUGCUAAGUUUAGCUCAUAUUGUAGCAAAAUUCUGUUUGUUCUAUUAAGAAGUCUUUCUUUCCUGAGCUUCCCCGCUUUGAACAAACUCUUGUGACAGGAUGUAAUUAAGUAUUUGAUUAGACCCUAAUUAUGAGUUUGUAGUAAGUAUUAUUUUCAGUGGAAAGUGAUCGAGUAUGGUACAUAGGAUCCGUUCUGUCUUUUCACCUUUUACUUUCAUUAUUGCGAAAGCUCCCUUGUUUCAUUUCUUUAUCU